GUUAGAAGCAAGUCAAUAAUCCUAGACCCGACUGAAGGGGAGGACAUUGCAAAAGAGCAGGAAUACCAGGAGGUGGUGAGCACUGACACCAGCCUAGUGACUGCCUAACACAAUGGUUCACAAAAGAUGAAUGAGGCGUCUGUUCGUUGUUCUUGCUUCCUCGGAGCCCUCUGCUCUUUUCUCAGGCAGCACUGACUCUUCCGUCCAGCAGAGGGCUGCAUACUGGCCAAGGUCAGCAGAAGUGGACCACUCUUUCAUAGAUCUAGCAACAGUUCCAGAUCUCAUUGUUCUCACAGGUCAAUGUCAUUCUCAAAUUCAUCCUCUUUCCACCAGAGUGUGCAUCUAUAACCCUUUACAACUAAGGACCUCAAGCAACUGGCAAGGUCAAGCAACUUCAGUCAGGAAGGCAUCUUCUCAUCAAAGUGGGAAAAUAAAGGCAAAGAAUAUUGUGCUUCCAAGUGGGAUAUUUCAGUUUGAAAUAUAUAAUAUGCAAGAACAGCUGGCUAGAUCAAACUUGUAGGGGUUAGGGCUGAAUAGACUGCCCUGAAGACCAGGGAAGGUUGUGCUGAAAAUCAGCUUGAACUCUGUACAUGUAUGUAGCAGAGCACUGAUCACAUUACAUUGCAAUUAUUUCUCCAUAUGUCUAUACCCUGCUUUGGAGCUUGAGCUCUACUUGAAUAUUCUUCAUUUCUGGGCCACCAGCACCAAGCUCAAGUAUACAACUCUCAUAGAUACUCACUUACCCACUGAAUGAAUUCAUAGAUGAAUGAACAUACGAAUCAAUGCAAGGACUGUUGGAUGGUCAGUGAAACUUCGCUUCUUGACUCUGUCCUAACACAACCAAGGCAAGUAAAAUUGACAAAAGAUUUUCACCACUAUUUUUCAGAGGAAACGAAAUCCUCCAUGGGGCUUGCCUGUGAAAUUGAGCCAUGCAUCAUGACGUACUGUUCCAGCCAGGCCAGUCCCUGCUCAGGCACCACAGAACAGACUCCCACUGCACCUUCAAACUGCAUGACAAAUAAAGAAUCGCCCUGUCAGAAUUCCACCCUGGCUCACCCAAAUUGACAAAAAUUUUCUGAAUUACACUGUUUCAGGGCUCCCGCAUUGACAGGAGGCAGUCAAGCCUGACAGCCCUUUCCCUCUUGUCUGUUAUCUUGAAAUCAAUUGCACAGCCUGAUGCACAGAAUAAUGGCUGUGGACUAUUCUGCAGGACUUGGCCCAUCUGGUCACUAAGGAAGACAGCAUUGCUGGCUUCCUAUCGAUCUGGGAGGAGCAUGCUGCUACACAGAGGUGACCUCCAUCUCUCCACCUGGCCCUGCUAUUGAGGAAAUCAGUUUCACGAGUGAGCUCAUUCAGAAAUGAAAACAACUUUGCACCACAGCGUAUCCAUCUUUGUCUUUAAUUAAGAGCUCUUGCCUCUUUGGGAUUAAAUAGUGAGUUGUAAGCAAAUGAAAGGGCAUGAUUCUCUGCGUCGGGCACCAUAUUUUGUGUUAAGUCCCUUUAGUUAAAGUCUUGAACAGAUCAGACAUUUCAGUAGAGGGAAAUAUUAAUUUGGCUAUUUUAUGAAACUCCCUACACUUCAUCUUUGAAGAAAAUUCUUAUAUUAGUGGUAUAAUAUUUUUAUUAGCAAAGCUGAUUAAUGUUCCUACAAAGAUUAAUAUUUCUCAAGUUGGUUCUCUAGGAAAAUGAUCGAUUUAUACUUAAUUGUUUGAAGUUCAUUACACAGCCUACCUGUUUUACAUUUAAAAAGAAUUGCAUUAUUGGUGAGUUAUAAUAAAUGGACCCUGAAUCUAUGAAGGCUGCAAAAUGCUCCUGACUUCCUUAUUGGAAAGAAAGACGAAAGCAAGAAAAAAAGCAAGAAAGCAAGAAGAAAGAAAAACAAUUACAUGUUUAAGUUAGUAACAUUUUUGGAUGCUUAUAUUCCCACAGUUUUAUUUUUAUAGUUUGGUUUCUGUUUUUAGUAUUAAAAAUACCAAUUAGUAGCUGGCUUUUAUGAAACGUCUUCACGAUUCAGUCUGUAAAUUGCAUAUAGCAUUACAAAAGUCUGCUCCUUGCAUCUCCCGCCCCAUUCUUGUCCUCCUCUAGCAUAUUCACCCAGCUGCCCAAAGUAAUCUUUUAAGAACAUAAGUCAACUUAUGCCCCUUUCCUGCUCAAAACCUUCCGAGUGUUUCACAUGUCACCCAGAAUAACCAAACUCUCUUCCUCGACAAGGCCUAUAUGAUUUGUCCCUCCCUGUCUUUCUGACAUUGUCACCCAACAGUCCCCACUCUUGCUCACACCCUUCUAAACGGAGUACUAUUCUUGCACAGGCCCACACUUUUCACCUAACUGUGAAGUCAUGUGUUAAAAUUCACUUGGUCACAGAUGUCUAUUAAAAUAUUAAUAUAAUCUCAUAGAUUACAAGCCCCAUGAGGUCAAGAAUUUUGUAUGUCUUAUUUACCACUAUUUCUAAUGCCUAAUAAAGUAUGUAUUCAAUUAAGGCAGUAUUAGUCUUCCGUUAUCUCAUAUAAGUUCUAUUAAGACAAGGUCUAAAAGUGACUCAACGUGUUUUGUUUUGUUCAUCACUAUA
ensembl:lncRNA